rnacentral:rRNA from 1 species
GACGAACGCUGGCGGCGUGCUUAACACAUGCAAGUCGAACGGAAAGGCCCUGCUUUUGUGGGGUGCUCGAGUGGCGAACGGGUGAGUAACACGUGAGUAACCUGCCCUUGACUUUGGGAUAACUUCAGGAAACUGGGGCUAAUACCGGAUAGGAGCUCCUGCUGCAUGGUGGGGGUUGGAAAGUUUCGGCGGUUGGGGAUGGACUCGCGGCUUAUCAGCUUGUUGGUGGGGUAGUGGCUUACCAAGGCUUUGACGGGUAGCCGGCCUGAGAGGGUGACCGGCGACGUUGGGGCUGGGAGACGGCCCAGACUCCUACGGGAGGCAGCAGUGGGGAAUAUUGCACGAUGGGCGGAAGCCUGAUGCAGCAACGCCGCGUGCGGGAUGACGGCCUUCGGGUUGUAAACCGCUUUCGCCUGUGACGAAGCGUGAGUGACGGUAAUGGGUAAAGAAGCACCGGCUAGCUACGUG